AUUGAGAUUAAGAUCAUUUUCUUGUUUGUGUUUAUUUUGUUUUUUAUUGUUCUUCACUAUCCCUGUAAAACCCUAAGUUUCUUAUUUCUAAUAUGUCUUUCUUUCUCUAAGUUUGAGUUAUUUAAGUGCGUUAUGCUCUUCUAAGUUUUUCAUGAUGGGGUGAAAGAGUGAAACUCCUGGCAAAUACUAAGGUAAAUACACCGCCUAUCUAAAAAGGCUCUGAGUCUUAGCUGGAUUGGCAUAGACAUUGUUGCCAAUGUAGGAGAACGUAACUCUAAGGAAGUUGAAAUACAUUAUCCUCUUAUUUAUGAGUUGAGGGACUAUGGGUAAUUUUAGGUAUUAUGCAAAUGAUAACCUAUAAUGAGAUUAUUAAUAAAAACGAAUAAAUUUAUUAUUAUU